GAUGAACGCUGGCGGCGUGCCUAAUACAUGCAAGUCGAGCGAACAGACGAGGAGCUUGCUCCUCUGACGUUAGCGGCGGACGGGUGAGUAACACGUGGAUAACCUACCUAUAAGACUGGGAUAACUUCGGGAAACCGGAGCUAAUACCGGAUAAUAUCUUGAACCGCAUGGUUCAAUAGUGAAAUACGGUUUUGCUGUCACUUAUAGAUGGAUCCGCGCCGCAUUAGCUAGUUGGUAAGGUAACGGCUUACCAAGGCAACGAUGCGUAGCCGACCUGAGAGGGUGAUCGGCCACACUGGAACUGGGACACGGUCCAGACUCCUACGGGAGGCAGCAGUAGGGAAUCUUCCGCAGUGGGCGAAAGCCUGACGGAGCAACGCCGCGUGAGUGAUGAAGAUCUUCGGAUCGUAAAACUCUGUUAUUAGGGAAGAACAAAUGUGUAAGUAACUAUGCACGUCUUGACGGUACCUAAUCAGAAAGCCACGGCUAACUACGUG
rnacentral:rRNA from 1 species